UACGGAGGGGGUUAGCGUUGUUCGGAAUUACUGGGCGUAAAGCGUGCGCAGGCGGUUCGGAAAGAAAGAUGUGAAAUCCCAGAGCUUAACUUUGGAACUGCAUUUUUGACUACCGAGCUAGAGUGUGUCAGAGGGAGGUGGAAUUCCGCGUCUAGCAGUGAAAUGCGUAGAUAUGCGGAGGAACACCAAUGGCGAAGGCAGCCUCCUGGGAUAACACUGACGCUCAUGCACGAAAGCGUGGGGAGCAAACAGG
rnacentral:rRNA from 1 species